rnacentral:lncRNA from 1 species
UGGUAUUGCAGAAAAUGAGGACCAAGGGGUAAACAGGGGAAACCUUGUACUGGAUGGGUUUGAUAUUAGUGGUAUUCCAGUAUUAACCCCCCAUAUAACUAAACCAACAGCAUCACCUUUUAGGGACCCUUUGUCCAUUACACCAAGUGUUAAAAGCAGGGCAUCUGCCACCCUGCAGACUGCUAAAAUUAUACAGCAGCAAGAUAGGGAUAAAGUAAUGAAAC